AAAAAAAAGCACUCAGAUAUUUUCCUUUUACAACGAACCUUUAGCUAUACUGUUUGAAAUCUCUUCAGCAAAAGUUACUUACCAUCUUCGUAUGGCUGCCAAGAACAUCAUUCCUCCCUAAGGUGGAUCUGGCCUGGAAUAUACAAACCAGAGACAGAAAACAACAACAACCAUCACCACCAUCCAAGACAGAAACAAUCCCGGACAACUCAAAACUUGUCAUCCUUUACUGAUGUCUUGGUAAUUUCCAUUCUCUAUUUUUCCCCUCCAGAAAACAACGACAACAACCUAAAGGGGGGGAAAAGAACAUAACCAGCUCCACUUAGGUCACAUUUAUCCACUUUGUAGUUGAUAUAGAAAGUGUUACUGUUAUAGCUGUUUUGAGGCCUCAAUUUAAGUUUCUUACUCUGUACCAACCAAAGGGCAAGAAUAAUAUUCCAGCCUCAAAUGUUACGUUGUGUCAUGAGAUGAAACAAGUAAUAACAUUG